rnacentral:tRNA from 1 species
UCUCAGGUGGCUCAGUGGUAAAGAGUCUGCCUGCAAUGCAGGAGAUGCAGGUUCAAUCCCUGGAUGGGGAA